rnacentral:tmRNA from 1 species
CCCCACCAUUACCCACAGCCCGGAAGGGACGGAAUCGGUGGGGGCGACCCGUGAUCGGCGAGCGUGGUAAAGGCGCGGUUUUUGCCCGGUAUGGUUCCGCCGUGACGGGCCAUUCACAAGUGCCAACGAUAACGACGUUGCACUCGCUGCUGCCGCCUAAACAGCGGACGUAAGCGCGGUUCGGGGGGCACCGGGCAACAGAAGCCCCCCACU